AUAAGUCCUUAAUGGCAAAAGGUAUUUAAUUGAUGUUGAUGGGUGGCCUGCAGAAAUUGCAAUAAGAGCAUUUGGUGAAGCUCGUGGUCAGAAAAUGGAUGGUAAAAUCUACCUCGGUGAUCU